rnacentral:rRNA from 1 species
GACGAACGCUGGCGGCGUGCUUAAUACAUGCAAGUCAACUGAACUUUAGGUAGCAAUAUUUAAAGGGAGGUGGCGCACGGGUGAGUAACACGUAGGUAAUCUGCCUUCAGGACUGACAUAAUUCCGCGAAAGCGGGACUAAAAUCAGAUGAUGCAGCGGCUCGACAUCGAGACAGUUGUUAAACCUUCGGGGCCUGAAGAUGAGCCUGCGUCUGAUUAGGUAGUUGGCGGGGUAAAAGCCCACCAAGCCUGCGAUCAGUAGCUGGUCUGAGAGGAUGAUCAGCCACACUGGAACUGAGACACGGUCCAGACUCCUACGGGAGGCAGCAGUAAGGAAUAUUGCUCAAAUGGCCGAAAAGGCUGAAGCAGCAACGCCGCGUGGAGGAUGAAAUACUUUAGUAUGUAAACUCCUGUAAAGAGGGGAAAAAUAUACAGCUAUGCUGUGUUGAUUGUACCCUCAGAGUAAAGCCCCGGCUAACUACGUGCCAGCAG